AUUCCUUAUGACAAUCAGGCACAUGCAGGCAAGUAAUCUUGUCCGGGGAUACCUAUCCUUUGUCAAUCCAAUUAUCGAACUCAAAGCGCUACCACUUUCCUGUCCCACAAACUUUGAGACGACUUCUGGAUUGUUCCUGAACAAUGCAGCCAGAGACUCCAAGCUGGCAUCUCUCUGACUAAAAGAACCUUCAAGGAGGCCAAGAAGCUUCUUUAGAACCCCAGCAUCACUUAAUGAUUUUUGCUCCAGACUUGUCUCACAAGAAUGUGUGAUGAUACUUGCACCAAGACCAGUUACAUUUUCACUUUCACUAUUCAAUAAUGAAAGAAGGAAUUCCAUCUUUUUAUCUUGAAGGAAUUCAUAUUUUGGUGUUAGUUUAGACUGAUAGAUCAUUCUAAUGGAACGAGCACUAGCAUCCACCACCUUCUCAUCUGGAUUGGAAAGGAGCCGAACAAGGUAAGGGAAAGCGCCGGCAUCUAGAACGGCUC
rnacentral:misc_RNA from 1 species